GUUUGCGGGACAUUUUUUAUAUUGUCAACCCCUUUGUUACACGCAGUGUAAUCACGUGUGAGUGGGCUGUGUGAAAAAAUAUAAUUUUUAAUUUUUAAAAUGGUUAAAAUUGGGUGGCGGGCGGGAGACUUUUUGGGGCGCCCUCGUAUACGGUGCAAAUUUAUCGGGCCUACGUCAGCAGGGUACGUCAGCGGUUGCGUGACAGCGGCAGUUUUCGGGCGGCGGUCGAAGCGGUCGGACGUGUGUGUGUCGUGCGUGCAUUUUGUUCGUUAAAUUGUUAAAUAAAUUGUUAAACGCGAAUUAAUCGAAGUGAUGCUGUGCUGUGCUGUGCUGUGAAGUGAAAUUUUGGAGAAAAUCGCACAACACGGGACCGUUUAACCGCAAAAAUUUUUAUCACAUGUUUUGAAGCAAGGGUCGUACUGUUGCUCACCCAACACGAAUAAACAGUCGUCAAAUGUGCUAACCAUUGCAAUUUCCGCUUGGAGUUACGAAUUUUGAAAGCUCAAAAGCUGGUGUCUGUGUUGGAUUGCUUUAUGGACUGGUUGCGGCCGGCCUGCGGGAUCCGGAGGACUUCAAAGACGUUCUUCGUCUGGAUCUUCAAAAAUUAUUUUUUUUUAACUGGCAAUAAUUAUUAUUGAACAUUGUUAUAUAUUUGUGUGAUUGUUUAUGUUUUAUGAAUAAACGCUAGAGAAAUG